rnacentral:tRNA from 1 species
GGGCGCAUGUUCUAGCGGUAUGAUUUUCGCUUCGCAUUCGUUGCGGAUAUGUGAAAGGUCCGGGGUUCAAUUCCCCGUGUGUCCA